GGGGUGGUAGCUCAGGGGGAGAGCAACCGGCUGAAGACCGGUGUGUCGUGGGUUCAAAUCCCACCCACCCCA
rnacentral:tRNA from 1 species